rnacentral:lncRNA from 1 species
UCUCCUUAGAUCGGAUGGGGGGAGAGACCCUGCAAUGCCCAUAUGUGCCCCCACAGCCCUGUUAGGGACAGGAGGAGGACCUCACCUUAACUUGAGCAAAGUCGAAGGCCCGGUUCUCCUUAGACCGGAUGGGGGGAGAGGCCCUGCAACGCCCAUAUGUGCCCCCACAGCCCUGUUAGGGACAGGAGGAGGACCUCGCCUUAACUUGAGCAA